AUGCUCAUUUUGGCAGCACAUAUGCUGAAACUGGAACGAUACAGAGAUUAACAUAGCCUCUGUGCAAAGAUGACACACAAAUUCAUGAAGCUCUCCAUAUUAGC